rnacentral:rRNA from 1 species
UCGAGAAUUUUUCUCAAUGGGGGCAACCCUGAAGGAGCGACGCCGCGUGGAGGAUGAAGGCUUUCGGGUUGUAAACUCCUGUCAUUUGGGAACAAGUGCUAGCACGUAACUACUGCUAGCUUGAUAGUACCAGAAGAGGAAGAGACGGCUAACUCUGUGCCAGCAGCCGCGGUAAUACAGAGGUCUCAAGCGUUGUUCGGAUUCAUUGGGCGUAAAGGGUGCGUAGGUGGCGCCGUAAGUCAGGUGUGAAAUUUCGGAGCUUAACUCCGAAACUGCAUUUGAUACUGCGGUGCUUGAGGACUGGAGAGGAGACUGGAAUUCACGGUGUAGCAGUGAAAUGCGUAGAUAUCGUGAGGAAGACCAGUGGCGAAGGCGGGUCUCUGGACAGUUCCUGACACUGAGGCACGAAGGCCAGGGGAGCAAACGG